rnacentral:lncRNA from 1 species
CCGUAUCCCUUCCCCAGAUCGCAUCCUUCAACCCUAAACCCGAAUAUUUGUUCCAGCCGCCACUACUCCUCAUCUCACCACUCCGAUCGGGCAUGGAGGUCGCCUACAGCCUCGCCGGCGAGCGCCACCACCAUGGGUAGGGUAUCUCCUAGUCGCCGCAAUGUCGAUGUACCGUCCACCGCUCGCUACCGUGCUCUUGAAGCACUGUCACCACCACCCGCUGCCAGCAACACCAAGAACCACCGAGGGAUGCAUUGAAGACCGAGGGAGGUGCUGUGUGCGUCGUGUGAGGGUCAGGAACCACCGGAAUCGCAUGGUAAGUCCGGCUGAAACUCAUCUUUCCUCGUUUUCUCGUUCUUUUAUGUAGAUAUGACGUCUCCGACGUCGUUACAGUCGUCAGUGGCCAUUGGGCUGUGGUUCUCGUCCUUUCCGGCGACACCUGCCACCCAAGCGGUGGUUGUAUAGGCAUGUGUUCGAGUGUACAUGUUGGUUACCACAUUCGUGGGGUCUUAGGUGCAGUUUUGGACGGAGAACCCUCUGCCNNNUGCCAAUGUUUGUUGUCGUGUUCUGCCGCCACCAGCCACCAUGCGAGGGUGGCUGUGUGUGUGAUUGGUUAUGUGUACGCCGUUUUCAUAAUGUUACUGAUGUGUAGGUCUUCUUUGGAUAGGAACCGGAAAGAAAGAUCCACCAUUGCCGCUGCGUGCCGUCGUUCCACCGCUGGCUGCCGCCACGAGCCACCAUCGGCCACCAUGGUGUGGUUGUGUGUGUGUGUAUUAGUUAAUGUGUGUAUUAGUUAGUGUGUGUAUUUUGGAUAAAAGCCUUGUAAUUUUAAUUAGCAUGGAAUAAUGAAAAUGAACCAAACCACCAUCGUGAGGUGGUGGCCGCCGCCGCGAGCCGUCUUUGACCACCACUACCCGAGGUGGUAGUGGGUGGUGCCCCACUAGCAAAACCUAAUGGGCUUAUGGAUUAGUUUUGGGCCUAUUGGGCCAUGUUUGGGUGGAAAACCCUAAUUGUGAGUAUUUGGGCCUUAGACUUAUUGGGCCCACUUGUGGGCCAUUAGGAUUGGAUUGUGAAUUAAGCCCAAAUUAUUCCAUGCCAUUUAUCUAGUAGAGUAAAGGAAUUAAUGGAUCAAGUUCUUAAUGGGCUAAUUGAGAGAAAUCCUAAUAUUUGAGAAUUUAUUAGGACACACACGAGAGUUAUUUAAUAAGUGAAAUAUUAAAUAAUAAUCAUUGGCAGAAAUUAAUCUAAGCAAUAAUGGACUUAAUGGAUUAAGUCCUUAGUAGGUUAAGCCCUUAAUGGGUUAAGUGAGAAACACUUAACCCUAAUCGUCAUUUUAUGAGAAACCCUAAUUUCACUUGGGUAUAUUAUUAGGCCAUAGUUUGGGCCUAGAGAGUUGUAUGAUAUUGGGCCCUAGAAUGAGACAUGUUGGACUGGACUGAUCAAUUGGGCCUUAAGGGAAGUCCAUGUAGAUGUUUGGGCCCAAUUUGGAAAAUUGGGCCAUAUGUUGGGCUUUGAUCCUUAGUUGAAUUUGGGCCUAUGGAUUGGGCUUUGGGCUUGGGUAAGCCAAGCUAGGGGUAAUUUAGUAAUUAUCCAAAGUAUGUAUUUAUAGUUAUGUGUUAGAACCUAAUUAUUAAUUAGGUGUUAUUUUUGUGUUGACAGUUUGAGAAUCUGUCAUCCAGCAGCUAAGGUUGAGUCUGCGGGACUUUAGCAGUAUGAGAUUGUGUCUACGGGACUUCAGCAGUGUGAGUUGAGUUUCCUUUCAGUAGGAACAGGUCUACGACCACAAUGUCGGCCCGUUUAAGUUAGUAGUAGUUCCGGACAUCAGUUUGAUGUAGUAGUUCGGUAUGCUUGAUGUCUUUGUGAUACAGGCAUGGUAUGUGUUAUGCGUUCCAGACUAUGGUCCGAUGCAGUAUGCAGUAUAUGUGUGAAGGGUUUUGAGCAUUCUAACACUUCCUAAGUAUACAUGCAACCCUAAUAAAC